AUUAGCAUGUUUGGGAUCCACUACUGGAUGGUUAACAGCAGCUUUUGUAACUGUACGCCGACCAUAUCGAAUUAUGCUCUGCUAAAAAUGAACUCUUUGCAGACCAACCCUCUCGGCUGUCAGUGUUUUCCGUUUUCCUAUUUUAACGUUUGUGUAUAGUGGCAGGCGACAGAUGGUGUAGAUCAGAUCGAUUUGAUUGCAUUAGAUGAUUUUUUCCCUUCCCCACUCCUUUCUGGAAGCUCGCAUCAGCUGAAGGCUAUCGCCUGGGACUCCUCGGAAGCAUGAGCAAGCCGCCACCACGCGAAGGCACUGGGGCACAGCCAGCGCGAGGCGCCGAGGUCCCUUCCCAAGGCUUGUUAACACUGUAACCCGGCACUCGGAGAGAAGAAGCAGCUCACACUGCCCAGAGCCUACCUCACUGCACAUCAGAUGACUCCCUGGCUUCUACACACAGUUGGAGUUCCGCUUGAAACCUGGAUUUAGAGGGGUUCUCUGGCCGCCAUGGCACUCAAUCAUACCACCUAGAGUGGACUGGCCGAGACCAGACUGGGUACCAAGCAGAGAAGUGCAGAGGAAAGCACUGGGAGAGCACCAGAAUUGGAAAUAGAGCGGCCAUUUGGAUUUGGGCAGGAAGCAGCCGAGCACAGCUUUGGAUCCUUCUUUAGGGAAAUCGAGUUAUGGAUUUAUGGUCCCGGUCAAGCUCAGCCCAUCCCCAGGCAGGGGCGGGCUCAGCGAGCAGCAAGAGUUCUGGUGGCGGCGGCGGCGGCAGUAGCAGCGGCAGCGGUAGCAGCGGCAGCGGUAGCAGCGGCAGCGGCAGCUUGGUCCUCUGACUCUCUUCGGUGACGGGUAUUCUUGGGUGGAUAAUACGGAUUACGUUGUUAUUGCUUAAGAAUACGCGUAGUCGAGGAGAGUACCAGCGGCAGGGGGGCAGCGGCCGCCCUCCCCAGCCCACCAGCUGGCCACUAAACGCCCGUGGUUGCCAAGGCAUCCAAAGCCUCUGGGAUGUGUUCUGACUGUAAAAACUCUGAUGUUGUGAAAAAAGCUUACGCUUUGCCUCCACUCAAACCAGAUGGUGUUUCGCUCUUAUUGCCCAGGCUGGAGUGCAAUGACGUGAUCUUGACUCACCACAGCCUCUGCAUCCAGGAUUCAAGCUAUUCCCCUGCCUCAGCCUCCCAAAAUGCUGGGAUUAUAGGCGUGAGCCACCACGCCUGGCCAGCAUUCCCAAUUUUUAAAAAUGAAUGAUUGGCACAAAUCUUAGAAAGCCAUUUUCUGUAGAUUUGAAAGCAAUGCUAUUUACAUUGUUACUACUUUCUUGUUAAAUCUUGCAUGUCUGCAGUAUGUGUUGUAAUAGAAACCUAAGAUUAUGAUCUGCUGUAUUCAUAUUUGAAGAAGAAAAUUUCAGACUGUAUAAUCAACUAGUUGAUGAUUCAUAUUUGCUUGUACAAAGUUAAAAGUGUAACUUGCCAGAAAAGAAGGAAGCCUGAAAAGUAUUCUAAAUACAUUAAUAAGAAGGGUUCUACAUGAAUUAAUUUUUGUUUUGCCAUCUACAGAGUUCCUGCCACAUUCUAGGCACUUCAUAUUUGCUGCAACAUUUAUUCAGACAUUGACAGAACAAGAGAAACGAAGUUAAAUUUUAAGUACCAUGGAUUGAAAUUAAAUUUAGGGAAGAUAUUUUAUAGUAUGAAUUGUUCAUCUGUAUUUAACAAGGUAUUCAUUUAUUUUGGGCGAUUUAAGGAAGGUCCUUUCUGGAAACAGGAUUACAAACAUAUGGACCUAUUUAGUCAAUUUCAACCUUGUGAUUUUGAAUCUGACAGGUUCUCAGCUGCUUUUAUUAAAUAACGGAUUUUCUUAAUAAUUACUGUACUCAAACUUAGCAAAAAGCUCUAUUUAUAGCCCAGUUUUUUAGUCACACACUAUUGUGUCUUGUCAAAUUGAAACCAUAUACUACAUUCUUUACUUAUUAAGAUGGUCUUUCUUUGUAAUAAUUUUGGAGUAAAUAGUUUACUUAUCUAAACCUCUGAUUUCUGAUUUAACAGAUUUUUGAAGCAUUUAUUUUCCUUACCAUACAUAAAAAUUGUCAGUUGAGGACAAGGAAGGAUUAACCUGGACUACGGUGAAUAAUUGUUCAGGUUGCUUACUGUGUAACUCCAGAGGAGCAUUCACAUGGUACAAUUUGCAGAUUUAAGUAUUUAUUACAACCAUUUUCUGGCAGAUAACAGUGGAACACCCUGUUCUGUUAAAAUUAGUUUAUUAUGACAAAUUGCCUACAGAUGGACAUAAACUGUCUUGAGGAAGGGCACCUGCUUUGGACUGAAUCGUGUCCCCCCAAAAUCAAAUGUUGAAGCCUAAUCUCUAAUAUGAUGGUAUUUGGAGAUGGGGCCUUUGGGAGAUAACUAGGUUUAGAUGAGGUCAAGAGUGUGGGGCCUUCCUGAUUAGUACCCUGAAAAGAGAAAACACCAGAGAGCUUGCCCUCUCUCCCUCUUACCCCACAGGCACACAAAGAGGUCAUGUGAGUACACAGUGAGAUAACAACCACCUAUGAGAAAACAGAAGAGGCUUCAGAGUGAAAUCUACUUUGCUGGUACUGUAAUCUUGGACAUUAUUCUCUAGAACUGUGAGAUAAUAAAUUUAUCUUAUUU
ensembl:lncRNA MIR137HG MIR137 host gene